UCGGCAGAUUUCAUUUUUGUUUUCUUUUUCCUUAUUUUUGUUUUUUUGGGACUUAUGUAAAGAGGCAAAUGAGUAAUGAGUGCAAGCCAAAAGCUACUCUUCUACAUAUACAGAACUAAUGUAUCUUAAUAAGGCUGGAGAUGGAGAUGGAGUACAGUCCCCUAGAGUUUCGCGGAACCCCUGAUGGAAUGUGGAAGGUGGGCAACAGGUUCGCUCUGCAGCAGUUGGAAGGAAUGUUUUGAAUUAGAAGCCUCAAAUUUGGAACAUUAUAGAGUGUCAGGCGCCUGGCUUUGCUGGUGGAGAACCAAUGCAGCAUUCCACAAAUACAACAAGGGAAGAUGAUCUAUCUGUGGAUUCUGCUCUCGAGCGCGCUCUCUCGCACAGGUCUUACCGGGGAA
rnacentral:misc_RNA from 1 species